rnacentral:tRNA from 1 species
GUUUUCGUAGUGUAGUGGUUAUCACGUUUCGCCUCACACGCGAAGGCCCCCGGUUCGAACCCGGGCGAAAACA